rnacentral:rRNA from 1 species
UACGGAGGGUGCGAGCGUUGUUCGGAAUCACUGGGCGUAAAGGGCGUGUAGGCGGUCUGUUAAGUCUGAUGUGAAAGCCCGGGGCUCACCCCCGGAAGUGCAUUGGAUACUGGCGGACUCGAGUCUCGGAGAGGAGGGUGGAAUUCCUGGUGUAGCGGUGAAAUGCGUAGAUAUCAGGAGGAACACCGGUGGCGAAGGCGGCCCUCUGGACGAUGACUGACGCUGAGACGCGAAAGCGUGGGGAGCGAACAGG